rnacentral:rRNA from 1 species
UACGUAUGGGGCGAGCGUUGUUCGGAAUUAUUGGGUGUAAAGGGCGUCUAGGCGGGAGAUUAAGUUAGAUGUGAAAGGCGUGGGCUUAACCCGCGAAUUGCAUCUAAAACUGGUUUUCUUGAGUUCGGGAGAGGAGAGCGGAAUUCUUGGUGUAGCGGUGAAAUGCGUAGAUAUCAAGAAGAACACCAGUGGCGAAGGCGGCUCUCUGGCCUAGAACUGACGCUGAAGCGCGAAAGCGUGGGUAGCGAACGGGAUUAGAUACCCCCGUAGUCCCUGAGCGGG